rnacentral:misc_RNA from 1 species
GGUUACCACUGCUUUACAGUCGUGUUGUGAUGGAUGGGGCUUGACUGUCACACUUGGAGUACCCAAGCAGAAGCCGGAGGUAACAGCUCAUUUUGGACUUCUUCUUAACGGUAGAACAUUGACAGGAUCUCUAUUUGGAGGAUGGAAACCGAAGUCUGAAAUUCCUUCAUUAGUUGAAAUGUACCUAAAGAAGGAAAUCGAGUUAGAUGACUUGAUCACACACAAUCUGCCCUUCGAGGACAUAAACACAGCUUUCGAUCUGAUGAAAAAUGGGACUUGUUUGCGUUGCGUUAUACACAUGCCUGAAAUAGAAGGUUUUCCAAUGGCUGGCAACUAGUUGAAGUUAUUUCAUGCUUUCUGUUACCCCAAACUAUAAAUAGCCAACCACAAUGAACUACCAGAAAAUUUUGAUGUUGUACUAUAGUGUAUCACCGAGCGUCUUUCGAAAACAAGCUCUCUACCUCCACGAGGUAAUGAUAAGGUCUUGCGUACACUCUACUCUCUCUGU